rnacentral:rRNA from 1 species
UAUUUAAGAGUUUGAUCCUGGCUCAGGGUGAACGCUAGCGGCAUGUUUAAGGCAUGCAAGUCGAAAGCCGCUUUUGGCGGCUUGGCAAACGGGAGAGUAACACAUUGGUAACCUAUCUCUAUCUUGGGCAUAACCCAGAGAAAUCUGGGAUAAUUCCCAAUAUUCAUGGGGGGACACAAGUCAUUCCCAUGUAAAGAUUUAUCGGAUAGAGAGGGGCCUAUGUCCCAUCAGCUUGUUGGUAAGGUAAUGGCUUACCAAGGCAACGACGGGUAGUGGGUGUGAGAGCAUGACCCGCCUCACUGGGACUGAGAUACUGCCCAGACUCCUACGGGAGGCUGCAGUCAAGAAUCUUCCUCAAUGGACGAAAGUCUGAAGGAGCAAUGCCGCGUGGUUGAUGAAGCUUUUCGGAGUGUAAAAACCUUUUAUCAGGGACGAAUUUGUGACGGUACCUGAUGAAUAAGUCACUGCUAACUUCGUGCCAGCAGCAGCGGUAAUACGAAGGUGGCAAGCGUUACCCGGAUUGAUUGGGCGUAAAGCGUCCGCAGAUGGUUUAGAAAGUCUUUAGUUAAAUCUUGAGGCUCAACCUCAAGACUGCUGGAGAUACUUUUAAACUUGAGACUGGGAGAGGUAAGCGGAAUUGCCGGUGUAGUAGUAAAAUGCGUUGAUAUCGGCAGGAACAUCAAAAGCGAAGGCAGCUUACUAGCACAGAUCUGACAUUCAGGGACGAAAGCGUGGGUAGCGAAUGGGAUUAGAUACCCCAGUAGUCCACGCCGUAAACUUUGGGUACUAAGCAUUGGAAGUAUCGACCCUUCCAGUGCUGUUUAAUUAAGCUAACGCCUUAAGUACCCCGCCUGGGAAGUACGGCCGCAAGGCUAAAACUCAAAGGAAUUGACGGGAGCCCGCACAAGCGGUGGAGCAUGUGGUUUAAUUCGAUGAUAAGCGAGAAACCUCACCAAGACUUGACAUAUAGCUGCAAACUCUAGGAAACUAGAGCUUCUUCGAGAGUGCUAUACAGGUGCUGCAUGGUUGUCGUCAGCUCGUGUCGUGAG